GAUUAGAUAGUUAAGUUAAUAUUUACUUUGAAAGUAAAAGAUGAGGUAUUUUCUCUCUAAUCU
rnacentral:tRNA from 1 species